CUUUCCCUCUUUCUUCAUGCCUUACACAUGCAAGUCGAACGGCAGCACGGGUGCUUGCACCUGGUGGCGAGUGGCGAACGGGUGAGUAAUACAUCGGAACAUGUCCUUUAGUGGGGGAUAGCCCGGCGAAAGCCGGAUUAAUACCGCAUACGAUCUACGGAUGAAAGCGGGGGACCUUCGGGCCUCGCGCUAUAGGGUUGGCCGAUGGCUGAUUAGCUAGUUGGUGGGGUAAAGGCCUACCAAGGCGACGAUCAGUAGCUGGUCUGAGAGGACGACCAGCCACACUGGGACUGAGACACGGCCCAGACUCCUACGGGAGGCAGCAGUGGGGAAUUUUGGACAAUGGGCGAAAGCCUGAUCCAGCAAUGCCGCGUGUGUGAAGAAGGCCUUCGGGUUGUAAAGCACUUUUGUUCGGAAAGAAAUCCUUGGCCCUAAUACGGUCGGGGGAUGACGGUACCGGAAGAAUAAGCACCGGCUAACUACGUG
rnacentral:rRNA from 1 species